rnacentral:rRNA from 1 species
GAUGAACGCUAGCUACAGGCUUAACACAUGCAAGUCGCGGGGCAGCAUGGGGGUUGCUUGCAACCCCUGAUGGCGACCGGCGCACGGGUGAGUAACGCGUAUCCAACCUGCCCUUCACCACGGGAUAACCCGGCGAAAGUCGGACUAAUACCGUAUGUUGUCCAUUGACGGCAUCCGAUUUGGACGAAGGGCUUGGCGGUGAAAGGAUGGGGAUGCGUCCGAUUUGCUUGACGGCGGGGGAACGGCCCACCGUGGCGACGAUCGGUAGGGGUUCUGAGAGGAAGGUCCCCCACACUGGAACUGAGACACGGUCCAGACUCCUACGGGAGGCAGCAGUGAGGAAUAUUGGUCAAUGGGCGUAAGCCUGAACCAGCCAAGUAGCGUGCAGGAUGACGGCCCUAUGGGUUGUAAACUGCUUUUAUGCGGGGAUAAAGUGGCCCACGUGUGGGCUUUUGCAGGUACCGCAUGAAUAAGGACCGGCUAAUUCCGUG